rnacentral:sRNA from 1 species
AGUAUUUAUUUAGGUUAGCGUGGGUGAGAUACAGCAGAGAUUAAAACUGAUCUGGAGCACCUAAAAAAAAGAUGAAGCCAAGAAGGAUCAAGAAGGUGGAGAAGAAAAGAAAUCUGUGCAAAAGAAAAAAGUAAAAGAGUUAAAGGUGUUGGAUUCAAAGACAGCCCAGAAUCUCUAACCUCAUUAAGCAAAUGCCAGAGCCAGAGCAGUUAAAAAUGCUUUCUGAACUGAAGGAUGAAUAUGAUGACCUGGCUGAGUCAGAGCAGUUUGGCGUGGUGAUGGGCACUGUGCCCCGACUGCGGCCUCGCCUCAAUGCCAUUCUCUUCAAGCUACAAUUCAGCGAGCAAGUGGAGAAUAUCAAGCCAGAGAUUGUGUCUGUCACUGCUGCAUGUGAGGAGUUACGUAAGAGUGAGAGCUUUUCCAGUCUCCUAGAGAUUACCUUGCUUGUUGGAAAUUACAUGAAUGCUGGCUCCAGAAAUGCUGGUGCUUUUGGCUUCAAUAUCAGCUUCCUCUGUAAGCUUCGAGACACCAAGUCCACAGAUCAGAAGAUGACGUUG